GACGAACGCUGGCGGCGCGCUUAACACAUGCAAGUCGAACGGAAAGGCCUGCUUUCCCUUGUGGAUUGCGGGUACUCGAGUGGCUAACGGGUGAGUAACACGUGAGUGAUCUGCCCCCAACUUGGGUAUAAGCCUGGGAAACUGUGUCUAAUUCCCGAUAGGACUGCAGGGUGGUGCCUGUGGUGGAAAACGAUUUUCUAGUGGUUGGGGAUGAGCUCGCGGCCUAUCAGCUUGUUGGUGGGGUAAUGGCCUACCAAGGCGGCGACGGGUAGCCGGCCUGAGAGGGUGGACGGCCACAUUGGGACUGAGAUACGGCCCAGACUCCUACGGGAGGCAGCAGUGGGGAAUAAUGCACAAUGGGCGGAAGCCUGAUGCAGCGACGCCGCGUGGGGGAUGACGGCCUUCGGGUUGUAAACUCCUUUCGACAGCGAGGAAGCCACAUGGUUGGAAGGGUGGUGACGGUAGUGGUAGAAGAAGCACCGGCUAACUACGUG
rnacentral:rRNA from 1 species